ensembl:lncRNA
GAAACUAUUUUCUUCCUGUCAUUAUUUUGCAGUAUUUAGCUGAAAGGUUGGAACAAGAAAGCUGCAUUAUGUAAAAAUGUUUUAUGUGCUACUCGAGCAAAAUAUGACACCAACUUUGGAUGAAAUGAGUAAUAAAUGUAUUCAAAGAUCUAAAUUCAAUAUAACAAAUACGGUACACUGGAGUUCACCUGACAGUACCUACGGAUUGGCAUUAUUGGUAAAGUUAUCAUAUGAAAUAAGGAUUGCAAUGGUUCUUGGCUCCAAAGGAUGAGUUCACUGCAGAAGCCAAGAGCUUCCUCCAUGCUUCCAUCCCUUCGUCCCUACUGACCUCCUAGCUAGUCACUUCUUCCUUCCCCACAACUUUAGGGCUGCCCGAAGGCCACAAUACCUCCUCCACAGCUGGGACACAGCUUGUCUCUCAUUCUCCUCUCCUUCCUAGGACGCAGGCAGCUAAUCAUGUCCCUAACACCCUCUUACCCCUUCUCUAUUUUCAGUUGUCAUCCUCCUUCCAACAACUUCCAAGUUUCACCUUCGUGUUUCUGCCACCAGAAAGGGUUUCACAUUCUCUCCCCCAGUCGAAGACAACAUUCAUUCCUCAACGCACAUCAGCUUCCAGCCUGUCCCAGGAUCUCUCAGUCCGUGACUCCACCUUAUCUCUGGGUCCAUGGUGCACACUGUGCAUAUUGUAAGUGUGUGGAACCUUAAAUUACUCCAGGAAACUUCAGAGAUUACCUUGAAGCAAUUCUCUGCUGUCUGCACAGACUGACUGUCUUCUACUAGGGCAAAAAGGAAGGUCAGUCUAACCUCCUUUAUAGCAGGAGCUGGAAACCGUAAGAGCUACCGCAUACACCACAGUAUCAUCUGAUAAGUUUUUGGAAAUCCUAAUUCAUAGCAAGAACAAGAAACAUUUCUUGGAGAUUGGAUGAAAACUCAGAAAUUGUCGUAACACUUAAUGAAAGUAGCAGAGGAAAACAGUUGUGGGUAUGGCUCCAAGAACAAGAAGAAACCUGCUAGAAAAAACUAAUUGGAAAAGCCAGCUCAGGGAUCACUGAACAACUAAACCGCUCUUUUUAGUUGAAUGCCAUUCUGUGUUAAAACAAACAAACAAACAAACAAAACCAAAAAAAAUGAAAGGAACUCUCAACUUACUACUUCCACUGAGCAGAAAAAGCAGUCAGCAUUCAGGGCUGCAGAUGGUUUGGAAGCAGUUCAUAGUGAGUGUUCAGAACCUGAAAUUUGGGCUCAGUUUGUUGUAAUUGGUCAUUUAACUGAAGACCAUCUGACGAUUUUGUUUCUUUAACUGAGAUGUGUGUGUAUUGUAAUCCAGCACGAAGUUUGAAUGGUCACAAUUAAGAAUAUAGAUUUCCCUCUCUCUGAAUAUUGUGCCUUAGCUAGUAAAUAUUUGCUUUUCCUACGGCUAGCCUGACUAGCACAUGCGUUUGUUAAAAUAAUCACAAAGAAAGUUAACAAGCAAACAGGAAGGUAGGUGAAGCAAACUUGGCUAAAAAUGGAAGAAAAAAAUGGCAGAAUUUGUGGAGCACAACGGAGCAAGCUGUAGUACAAGGGCAGUACUGUUGAACCUAUGAGUAUCACAAAAAUGAUAAAUUAGAGAAAGGCUUUCAGCAUUCUGGUGAAACUCUGAUUAUUUGUCUAUUCUAUGUCAAUAUCAAUUUAUAAUAAAGUUUAACACAUUUAUAUUACCUGUGAUUGC